rnacentral:lncRNA from 1 species
UUCCCCCGAACCCCCUCCGGACCCCUCCUUUCCACGCGGCUCUAAGCCCUUGAGUCCCCCUCGAGGAUUUGGAGGAGACGCCGCCGCCGCCGCCCGGCUCCUCCUCAAGACACCGCCGCCCGACUCCUCAACACGCCGCCGACCGACGCCUCGACGCCGACGUACCUCCUCCGCCGUACUGGCCUUCUCCCCGGUGGUAAGCCCUCGCCUCGCGUCCCCUCCUUCCCCUCGUCGUUUAGGUUUCCUCCAUCCGCCCGGCCAUGGCUGCUGGCUCGUCCUCCCCGGCGAGUUUGCCGAGCAUGCCGUCUUCGAGGGCACCAAGGCCGUCACCAAGUUCACCUCCUCUUAGAUCGCUAGUUUUUGGUGGUGCUUGUAGUUACCUUGGUGUUUGACUCGUCUGUCUGAAUCUAGAAGUGUUAGUGAUGAAUGAAAUUUGUUGGAUGUUCUUGGGAUGCUCUAAUCUGGAAUAGAAAUGCGCACUUCCUGCUGUGUGACUUGUUCUGUAACCUGAAUUAACGAUAGAUUUUCCUCUGGAUUAUAGUUGUACUCCUUUUUAAGUAUUUUUACCACUGGAUGCGUGUUUGAUAUGUGGAGUCAGUUCAUCCUCAUGGGCCACCAACGGUAUAUAUUCGCAUGUAAACCCUGAGCAGAGACGAGAAAUAAACGAAAAGAAGCAGGCUUGAUUCGAGCUUGUGCCAAUACACCGGUUUUGUGUGCGCAUGUGUACCAUAAACGAAAAGAAUCAGAUCCAGGAGCUGUGUACGUGUGUUCAAUCAGGCAAGAAUCAAUUAUCUUGAAUUCUUGAUGCUACUGCUUGCUGCCGCUGCUACUUGCUGCUCGUUGUUGCUGUACAAACAGUGUAAAAUGAGCCAACUGAAGUCCGGAGAUUAGAUGAUUGGCAUGCUGUAGAAAUUCUUUUGAUUAGAUGACUGGCUGCCAACUGAAGUAAGGAGAUGUACCAGCUACAUAUUGUUGUACCAAUGGAAAGUUUUUAUUUGAUCAGACUUGUUAAGUUUUUACUGAAUUUUAAUCAGAUUGUUGUAACAGCUCCUUCUGUUUGUUGUUCCAGAUCAGUGUUCAUGUACACUAGACUGUACAGGAACAUGGCAGGCAAUCUGCGGCGUUCAUAAUCUGGUAGAUUACUUUAUUCCUGUGUAAUUUAGCCCUAGGGAUGGUAGGUUUCAGAAUGUGGUUAGUUUUGGGUCUGUCAUGCUUGCCGCUGAUACGCAUAAAUUAUUUUACGAUUGUUGUGCCCUGUUUUCCUGAACCUGGGAUAGUUCUAAGUUUUCAAUCGAGAGGUGAAGGCAAUGGUACAAAUAAAUGUUUCAGAAGCAAGUGCUCCUGUGUGCUGAUCGUAAUUGCUUAGUGGAAGUGCUCUCUUGUUCUGGUUUUAACCUUUGAAGAUUUCGUUGAAUACAGUUGACGUAGGUCUUGAUUUAACUCUAGUCUAGCUCUUGAUAGUUCUAGAGCUGUUGUUCAUUUCUUAUCAUCUGUUAUUUCCUAAACAACAGUGGAGAUCUAGACUACUUGCUUGCCUCCCUGUUUAUCGACUACAAGUAACAAGUCUGAUUUCUGUGCACUUUUGGUGAAGCAAAUAGUCCUCUAGCUAGCUAGCUAACUUGGUCUUGUAUUGACGGUAUCACACAGAUUGGUUCCUAUUUCUGUCAUCGAUUUAUUAUCUAGCUAGCUAGCUAAUUUGGUCCAUUUCCAUUGAACUGAAUCUAUGUAAUGGACCUUGCUAACUUGUUCUCCCUCCAUGGACCUUGCAGCCUCUUCCACGCUCCACCACCAUCAGCCUCCUUAACCCCGACCGAAGAGCUGACCUUUUCCCCUCUAAGGUAAGCUACUUAUGACUGUAGAUCAGUAAAUAUACCUGAUGGUUGUUGCUUAUGCAAGGGAAAAGUCUCUUUGAUUUUGGUCUUGAUUCUAAUUGUCCAUCUUCUGCAUGCUUUAGUGUUGCCUCAUUUUGUUUAACUGGUUUUAGUUUCUGUUACAUGGGAGAACCAAUUCCCUGUAACUCAAAUAUAAAUGACUAGUUUCUAUCUAUCUACCUCCCUAUUAAGUUGAUACAUUAAUUAUGUGUUCUGUUCUCACACAAAUAUAUGUAAUUGACCUUGCUAACUUGUAGUAACGAUGCCUUUCUAACUGAUCUGAAAUAUAGUAACGAUGUGGUGCGCCUCUUGGGAAACUUUGGUUUUGAACCUAGUUCUACCCGGACCAGACUAAAAGGAAUGUUUCUCAGUUUCAUCGACCCUUUUUUCCAGAAAUGUUCAGUUAUCAUAGCAUUUUUAUUUCAGACCUUGUAUAACAGCUUGAGAUGAUGUUGUGUUAUAUGGUUCAGUCUUUCUUCAGUUAUUCCUUUCAGUAUAUCACUGUUCACUUUUGGUUCAGUCUGUUUAAAAUGCAUAUCAGUUUAGCUGCCAUUGUCUAGCCAGCGAUAAGCGAGCUCCCGAAUGCUAUAUUCGGUUAGUAAGAUGGCAAGUACAACUAAAAUGAAGCAGUCUGAAGUGUGGCAGCCAUGCAUUAGAUGUCUACAUGCUAGUACAUCUGUCCAUGCUACAUGGAUACUCAUUCGUCUACCGUUUUUCUCUGUCCAUCUUUAUUCACGUUUUCAGGCAGUUACUUCUUAUAUUUUCAUGUGUGUUUGUGCUCUAGACUUACAAAAUUAGCAUUGAAGCAAGCUAUCAGAGACGAUUAUUAGUUUGGCACCUGAUCAUGUUACAAAAUUAGUGUGCCACCUGAUCAUGUUAAUCAUUAUUCAAGCGGCUUGCUAGUUAUAGAUACUGAGAUGUACCGAAUAUAGCUACUGAGCUUUUAUUUAAGCUUUGUUUCCCCUUGUUCUAUGCAAACGAAGUGGAGUUCUCAACUUCGGUAUGUUCUUAUUUUGACAGAGACCUACCGCGUGGAAUCUUGUCAGAGUGAACAAAUUACCGCCGUCUUGAGAUUUUAUAGUUUGUAGCAAGUUUUAUCUUUGUUGUAAAAUUAUGUGGUGGCUGUGAUGAAUUGUUAUUGCCGUGAAAGAUUAUGAUGUUAUGAUAAAUUAUGAUUGAUGGGAUUCGGAUUCGAAGUCAUGUUAUUAUGAUAAAUUAUGUUGUUGUGAUGAGAUAUUAAUUUCAAGUCAUGCAAAAUUAUGUUGCUGCUGGGAAAAACUGCUGCUAAAUCAUUCCCCUGUAGUCACUUCGUCUCAUAUUUAUACAUUGUAAAGAUUAAAUUUUUAAAUGUUCU